UCCUGGCUCAGGAUGAACGCUGGCGGCGUGCUUAACACAUGCAAGUUGAACGAGGCUUGCCAUCGGAAGUUUCGGAUGGAAGAAGGCAAGACCGAGUGGCGGACGGGUGAGUAACGCGUGGGGAACCUGCCCCAUUCCGGGGGAUACCAGUUGGAAACGACUGUUAAUACCGCAUAAGCGCACGGCAUCGCAUGAUGCAGUGUGAAAAACCACGGUGGAAUGGGAUGGCCCCGCGUCUGAUUAGCCAGUUGGCAGGGUAACGGCCUACCAAAGCGACGAUCAGUAGCCGGCCUGAGAGGGCGACCGGCCACAUUGGGACUGAGACACGGCCCAAACUCCUACGGGAGGCAGCAGUGGGGAAUAUUGCACAAUGGGGGAAACCCUGAUGCAAGCGACGCCGCGUGAGUGAAGAAGUAUUUCGGUAUGUAAAGCUCUAUCAGCAGGGAAGAAGAUGACGGUACCUGCACAAGAAGCCCCGGCUAACUACGUGCCAGCCGCGGC
rnacentral:rRNA from 1 species